UUAAAAGUAGCAAGGAAAGCUGCCCUGACUGCACACCAGGAAGCUGCACUGAUUGACUAGUUAGCUCCUGCAAGAAAGCCAGAUUACUAGCCACAUUUCGACUGGUAAAUUAGAGAAUAACUAUGGUGACGUUUCAGGGUAAAAUAAAUAUCGUCGCUGUCCAAGAACUCUGCAAAAAAAAAGUGUGCUGAUGUCAAUCACACCGUUGUCAUGGUAUCACCCCCCCUACAAACAAACUCUGGCUGCUAGCAGCAAUAAUCAGCUGACGACAAUAAAAUAAAUGUCUUUCUUACUACUGGUUAGCGCAAGUAAAAAGCAGACGUAUCGCCAUGUUUAUUUCUGGACAGGCCACCCAUAGCCUUUAAAAUGCCUCAAUCGCCCACGAGUUUGUUGACGUUUUCCCAAUGACAAGGAAAAUUGAAGAUUUUUGUCCUGAAGAUACCAACACCAUUAAAUUGCCAUCGCAACCACUGAGUCAACGAUUUUUAACUAAACCUUGCAUUGGUCUAUCUGUGACUGAGCUAUAAAGAUCGCAACUCUUGGGUGUUGUUUAUGUCUGAAUCAAGAUGGCGACGAUCAGCUGGACUGCAAUAGACGCAGAGCUCAACAGCGACACGUGGCGUAUGUUAUGAGCACUGAGCCUCAAACAAGUCCAGACUGCAGUACACCAAGUUCUCUGAGUGGAACCCAGCCUCGAUGUCCCUCUUCUUCUGAAAGAGGAAUGACACAAUCUUUGCAUAGUUGGAAAGAAUUGUCACAUGGGGACCAGAACGCAGCCCAGGCAAACGCUUGAACAGCCAUGGAAAUACAUCAUACAGCUAAGAGAAAAAGGGGACAUAAUUAUAUAUCCUGAAGUUGUGCUUCAAAGAAAAUCAGCUCACCCAUUUCCUGUUGGAAGGCCUGACACAGGAAGUUACACUCCUGCUGCACAUGAAGCUCCAGGGUUCUCUUCCCCUCACCAACGUGUUUUAGGUGGGCCACCGAGAACUGCCGCUGCCUCCUCCAUCUGUAUCCAUUACUUACAGAGAUUCCUUUUGAAAUAGAGUUUCAUGGUUACUUGAAAAUAAUUUUAAUUAAACAGUAACAAUGGUGAGUGAAAUUAUAUUAAGAAAAUGUAAAUAGCAGAUUUUACCACAGUCUUUGAAAACAUCACUAAAGAGAGGAGAUGCAGGUCGGUCUAAAAAGUUAUCUCCCUGAGUCAUCAAAACAUCCUUCACCAUCUUGUACCCAGACACAAACACCACCUUCUCCGCACCCCACCGAAGGCUGAAAAUAUUGCCGAACUGUUCAGCAACCUAAAAACAAUCGUAGACAAACUUAAAGAAAGAUCUUUGUAUCAAGCAACAAAACAUUAUUUGCAUAAAUUGAUCGCCCUUGAAUUAUUUGAUGCUGUAUGUAGAGUACCAGUCAAAAAUUUGGACACAAAAAUCUCAAAUUCGACCAAAGGACAGAUUUCCACCGGUCUAAUGUCCAUUGCUCGUGUUUCUUGGCCCAAGCAAGUCUCUUGUU